UACAGAGACCUCAAGCGUUAUCCGGAUUUAUUGGGCGUAAAGCGCAGGUAGGCGGGCAUGUUAGUCGGAUGUCAAAUAUCCCGGCUCAACCGGGAACAGGCAUUCGAAACGGCAUGCCUCGAGAUAGCGAGAAAUCAGUGGAAUUCACGGUGUAGUAGUGAAAUGCGUUGAUAUCGUGAGGAACACCAAAGGCGAAGGCAACUGAUUAGCGCUGUUCUGACGCUGAGCUGCGAAAGCGUGGGGAG
rnacentral:rRNA from 1 species